UACUUUCUGAAAUCAAAAUUUAUAUUAAUUAUAUUUAUACAAAAGUUUAAUAUAUACACCAUUAAAAUAUAUAUACAUUUGGACGACAUAUAUUACGAAGACGUUUUGCAAAUAAAUACGAAAAUUUCUUCUCUUCAAAAAACACGUAAGGCAUUGGCGUCGUUUAGUAAUUUAAGGCGCACAUCAAAGCUACGCCACGCUUGAUCCAAUGCUGUUGAAUUUUACUGCUUGGGACUUCGAUCGAUAACACAAAAUUGGUUGAAUGACCGGUUGUUGAAAGAGUUCCU